ACCUAGUUAGUUAGCUUGGUAGAGCGUCUGCCUUGUAAGCACGAGGUCGCGGGUUCGAUUCCCAUCCGGGGUG
rnacentral:tRNA from 1 species